UACAGAGGGUGCAAACGUUGCUCGGAAUUACUGGGCGUAAAGCGCGUGUAGGCGGUUUCGCGAGUCCGAUGUGAAAGCCCGGGGCUCAACCCCGGAAGUGCAUUGGAUACUACGAAGCUUGAGUGCUGGAGAGGAAAGCGGAAUUCCCGGUGUAGAGGUGAAAUUCGUAGAUAUCGGGAGGAACACCAGUGGCGAAGGCGGCUUUCUGGACAGACACUGACGCUGAGGCACGAGAGCGUGGGGAGCAAACAGG
rnacentral:rRNA from 1 species